AUUGAACGCUGGCGGCAUGCCUAACACAUGCAAGUCGAACGGUAACAGGCAGCAACUUGCUUCUUUGCUGCCGAGUGGCGGAUGGUUGAGUAAUGUCUGGGCAACUGCCUGAUGGAGGGGGAUAACUACUGGAAACGGUAGCCAAUACCGCAUAACGUCGCAAGACCAAAGAGGGGGACCUUCGGGCCUCUUGCCAUCGGAUGUGCCCAGAUGGGAUUAGGUAGUAGGUGGGGUAACGGCUCACCUAGCCGACGAUCCGUAGCUGGUCUGAGAGGAUGACCAGCCACACUGGAACUGAGACACGGUCCAGACUCCUACGGGAGGCAGCAGUGGGGAAUAUUGGACAAUGGGCGCAAGCCUGAUGCAGCCAUGCCGCGUGUAGGAAGAAGGCCUUCGGGUUGUAAAGUACUUUCAGCGGGGAGGAAGGGAGUAAAGUUAAUACCUGUGCUCAUUGACGUUACCCGAAGAAGAAGCACCGGCUAACUCCGUG
rnacentral:rRNA from 1 species